rnacentral:rRNA from 1 species
CUACGGGUGGCACCAGUGGGGAAUAUUGCACAAUGGGGGAAACCCUGAUGCAGCCAUGCCGCGUGUGUGAAGAAGGCUUUCGGGUUGUAAAGCACUUUCAGCGAGGAGGAAAGGGUGCAAGUUAAUACCUUGUAUCUGUGACGUUACUCGCAGAAGAAGCACCGGCUAACUCCGUGCCAGCAGCCGCGGUAAUACGGAGGGGGCGAGCGUUAAUCGGAAUUACUGGGCGUAAAGCGCGCGUAGGCGGUUAAUUAAGUCAGAUGUGAAAGCCCAGGGCUCAACCUUGGAACUGCAUUUGAAACUGGUUAACUAGAGUUUUGUAGAGGGUGGCAGAAUUUCAGGUGUAGCGGUGAAAUGCGUAGAGAUCUGAAGGAAUACCAGUGGCGAAGGCGGCCACCUGGACAAAGACUGACGCUGAGGCGCGAAGGCGUGGGGAGCAAACGGGAUUAGAUACCCUUGUAGUC